rnacentral:rRNA from 1 species
CUUCGGACAAUAUACAAGGUGCUGCAUGGUUGUCGUCAGCUCGUGCCGUGAGGUGUCGGGUUAAGUCCCAUAACGAGCGCAACCCUACCUUUAGUUGCCAUCAGGUAAUGCUGGGGACUCUAAAGGAACUGCCUACGCAAGUAGUGAGGAAGGCGGGGAUGACGUCAAAUCAGCACGGCCCUUACGUCCAGGGCUACACACGUGCUACAAUGGCCGAUACAGAGGGCAGCUACCUGGUGACAGGAUGCAAAUCUCCAAAGUCGGUCUCAGUUCGGAUCGGAGUCUGCAACCCGACUCCGUGAAGUUGGAAUCGCUAGUAAUCGCGCAUCAGCCAUGGCGCGGUGAAUACGUUCCCGGGCCUU